rnacentral:rRNA from 1 species
UAGGGAAUCUUCCACAAUGGGCGAAAGCCUGAUGGAGCAACGCCGUGUGUGUGAUGAGGGGUUUCGGCUCGUAAAACACUGUUGUAAGAGAAGAAUGACAUUGAGAGUAACUGUUCAAUGUGUGACGGUAUCUUACCAGAAAGGAACGGCUAAAUACGUGCUAG